rnacentral:misc_RNA from 1 species
UUGAGUUCGCCGGAGAGUAGGUUAUUGCCAGGGUUUUUAUUUUGUACUUUAAACCUUAAAUUUAUUUUUUAUAUUUUUUUAAUGUUCAUGUUUUUGAAUGUUUUAUUCAAAUAAUGUAAAAAAUAAAAUAGAUAUUGACCUGGAUUGAACAAAAGAUAUAUAUUAUUUUAUGUUGCAUAAACAAAUUGGCAAAAUAGAGAUGGAAGAUAAAAAUAUGGUCAAAGUAAUAAGAGUCUAUGGUGAAUGCCUAGGAGCUUUAAGGCGAAGAAGGUCGUGGUAAGCUGCGAAAAGCUUGGGGGAGAAGCAAACAUUUAUUGAUCCCAAGAUUACCGAAUGGAGUAAUCC